UACGGAGGGUGCAAGCGUUAUCCGGAUUUACUGGGUUUAAAGGGUGCGUAGGUGGGUAGGAAAGUCAGUGGUGAAAUCUUCGGGCUUAACCCGGAAACUGCCAUUGAUACUAUUUAUCUUGAAUACUUUGGAGGUAAGCGGAAUAUGUCAUGUAGCGGUGAAAUGCUUAGAUAUGACAUAGAACACCAAUUGCGGAGGCAGCUGGCUACACAAAUAUUGACACUGAGGCACGAAAGCGUGGGGAUCAAACAGG
rnacentral:rRNA from 1 species